rnacentral:lncRNA from 1 species
GCCCCGUUUGUCUUAGCUAGACUAUUUAAAACAGAUAGCGCUCACACCCUUAAUCCUAUACCCUUAGGCCUAACAUUAUACCACCAAUCAAUUUUGGCAUCACACUCUCUAGAAGUAGGUAAGUAGAGAAACAGAGAAGUUCAAGUUCUCAUAAUGAACAGCAAAGUUCUUUAGCAAACAGCAGAACCUGAGUACAGCAAUCUGACUCCAGAACCUCAGUUCCUAACUGUUCCACCAUGCUGGCUUCUAUGGGUACGCAUUAGAUUGUUCCUUCCGUGAUCUCACUCGGGGGUGAGCUAUUCAGUCGGAGAAAUAGAGCUCCGGGGACAGCAACCUGAAAUCAAUCAAAAGCAUUGUGAGAACAAGAGAUUUCGAAGCAACCGGCCAGGUCUCCAGGAAGUCACUCAGGCAGGAGCUGGGGAACUGUACAAAAUGGCGACAGGGGUGGAGCAAGAGGAUCUGUGAAGGACGUGAAGCUUUGACCAGGCUGUGCGGCAGGCUGUAUUAUGAUUGGCUGGAGGCACUGUUCUGCUGCCUUCUCUGUGUCCUGUGACAUCACUUACGUGUCUCACCGUUAGCAGACUCUCAACCCCCAGGUAAGUAGAGCUGCUGGUUGGCCAUAGCCUAGCCUCAGGAGGGGUAGCUCUGAGGAGCAGCCCAUGACGAAUUCCACUAAGGCGGAGAAAAAUUCGAACAGUAACUUGGUGGCACUGGAGGCCCUCGGCAGCUGGUGAAAUAUCUGAGCCUUUCUUUCUGUCUAGAUCCAGGAACAGGAGGGCCACACCCAACAGCUAUAAAGGCAGGAAGCAUCCACAAGACUGAAGCACAAAAACAUGAAAACCAAGUGUGUGUGCACAACGUUCCAACUAACCGUCAUGCAGAAGUCUGUUUCACACACAUCAGAUGGUUUGUUGCAAAAGAACCUAUCCUACAAGCGGGAGCAGUUGCACUGCUAAGCGUUUCACUGGAGCAGAAUCAAAGGUGGAAACGACUAACCUCCUGAGGUCUGCAGCUGCGGAACGGAACAGUCCAUGACCCCAUCCCCACCCCACCCCAGGGCUCUGUGUGGUCAAUCCCAUCCUUUCCCUCCCUCCAAUGCUUGUUUCAGUAUUAAUCUCCCAGAAAGCAAAACUGAAACUUUGUUCUGCUCCCAGUAUGAUUAAGCAUAUCACAUGCUACAGGAAGCAACAGAAUCAAGCAAUAAAAUAAAGCUUUCUUAGAAGAACUCAAAAAUAAUAGGGCCAUCCUGACUGAGUCUGUCUCCAAAAGCAUAAAUCCUAGAAAUUCCCAGUGAACCUGGACACCAAACAAUGUCUUCCCUGUCUUUUGAUUUUAGGUUGGUGUUUUUCUUCUCUUUGAGACAGGGUCUUGCUAAGUUGCCCAGGCUGGCCUUGAACUUUCCACCCUCCUGCCUGAGCUUCCUGAUAGCUGGGAUUGCAGUUCUUUUUUUUUUGUAUGGGGGAUGGAACUUUGGACCUUGUGCUUUCGAGGCAGGCAGCAGCACCACUGAGCUAAAUCCCCGGCCCAUUCAGUUCCAAACUGCUACAGUUCUAAACUGCUACCCUGAUUCCUGAUUUUUGAUAUCCUGAUGUCUGAAUAGUGAAUGAUCUUUGUAAAUAUGACAGCUGUCUUAGUUACUUUUCUUGUUGCUGAGACAAAAUACUCGACACCCAAAAUUAAAGGAGGAAAGGUUUACUUAGCUCACAGUUUGUAGAGGUUUCAGUUCAUAAGCAGCAGAUUCCAAGGCAGGGUAGCAUGGCAGAGGAGAAACAGUUCAUGGUGGGCAGAAGGCAGCAAAGCAAGCAAGAGAGGACACCACUCUUUCUGUCCCUUAUAUCUUAUCCAGGCUACUUAGGGUGGGUAGCACACACCCCCUUAAUCCUAGCGCCCUGGAGCCUAGCAUUGUGCCAUGAAUCAAUCCCAGCAUCACACACUCUAGAUCCAACCACCUCUGAAAAAUUCCCACCUAUGAUCACCUGAGGCAUAGAGGACAUAUAGACAUGAGCCAUAUAACGGCCAUGCCACAAAGUUGCUUUUCCCCCUCUAACAUUGUGAACCAGAUAUGAAAUUGAUCCCCUCAGAAAUUUUGCCUUUCUUGUCCUUUAAAUAUUUGUGUUUUGAAUUCGG